UCUCCGUAGGUGAACCUGCGGAGGGAUCAUUACCAGAGAUGGCGGGCCUCCGUGCCCCCGUCCCCAACCCAUUGUUGACCAAAACCUUUUUGCCUCGGGGGCAGAGCGUCCGCCGCCGCCCCCGGAGGACCACCGAACGCUGUCUCUAUACGUCGGAAUAUUGAUUAAAUGAAUGAAAACUUUCAACAACGGAUCUCUUGGUUCUG
rnacentral:misc_RNA from 1 species